GCCGGAUUAGCUCAGUUGGUAGAGCACAUCAUUCGUAAUGAUGGGGUCAGGUGUUCGAAUCACCUAUCCGGCACCA
rnacentral:tRNA from 2 species